GCUUGGGUAGCUCAGUUGGUAGAGCACUUGCCUGCGAAAUGCAAAGGUCCCGAGUUCGAGUCUCGGUCCGGCACGCA
rnacentral:tRNA from 1 species